UACGUAGGGGGCAAGCGUUGUCCGGAUUUAUUGGGCGUAAAGAGCGUGUAGGCGGCCAGGUAGGUCUGCUGUGAAAGCUCCUGGCUUAACCGGGAGUGGUCGGUGGAAACUGCCCGUCUGGAGGACGGUAGAGGUAGGUAGAAUUCCCGGUGUAUUGGUGAAAUGCGUAGAGAUCGGGAGGAAUACCUGUGGCGAAGGCGGCCUACUGGGCCGGACCUGACGCUGAGACGCGAAGGCGUGGGGAGCGAACGGG
rnacentral:rRNA from 1 species